rnacentral:tRNA from 1 species
GUUGAAGUGGCUGAGUUAGGCGAUAAAUUGUAAAUUUAUUCACGGGGUCAUACCUCUUUCAACA